ensembl:lncRNA
CCCAGGUCAUGGUAGGAGAUCGUAGGACAGCAGAGCAGCAGAGAAGGAAACUGGCGGGAAAAACAGCGGAAAAACCCCUCAAGAUCAGAACGAGGAAGACAGAAAAUCUUGGAAGCAAAGAGGAAGGAAAAAAAACCCAACCAAACCCCUGUAAUCAGCAGGAAAUUCAGGAGAGUUUCAGUUCUCAGAGAGCAGCAAAGAGGCAUCACCCUUAUUUUGUGGGGGAAUUUUGAGCUUGUCUUCUGGCAGCUGUGAGUGUUUGAGAGAUCCCUGUAAUUUUGAUAUGUUUAGUCAUAUGCUUUGGCACUUGAAAGCUUUCACAGAAUGGGUUGGGGUGGAAAGGAUUUCGGGGUUAUCCUUUCACUGUUCCAGGGUGCUCCAAGCCCCAUCCAGCCUGGCUUGGGACCCUUCCAGCUGCUCUGGGAAUUCCACCCCAGGGCCUCCCCAUCCUCACAGGGAAGAAUUUCUUCGCUUUGCCUCACUUGGACUCACUUUUUGAACGUGUCCUGGGCCGGGCAGAGCACGAAACAGAGUCCAGCACAAAACUCCUCUUUUUCAGCUGCUCUCAGGGCUGAGAAACCCUGGAUAACAUCAGAUAAUGCUCCCAGGGCCGCUUGCCAGGAAAACAGCGAUCCCAAAAGCCGGGAAAAAACUUAAACUGCACAAAACCCCCGUGCUCUGAGGAGUGAGAGGAGGGAGAACUUGUAAAAUCACACAGCGACGUGCUCUGAGGGAAAAGAGUUGGAGGCAAAGCUGCUCAAAAAAAAAAAAUAAAAAAAUUAAUAAUAAUUUUAGAUGUCCUUUU